CACCUGUUCUCAUGCCGAACACAGAAGUUAAGCCCUAGAACGCCGGAAGUAGUUGGGGGUUGCCCCCUGUGAGAUAAGGUAGUCGCUUAGC
rnacentral:rRNA from 1 species